rnacentral:rRNA from 1 species
GAUGAACGCUAGCUACAGGCUUAACACAUGCAAGUCGAGGGGAAACGACAUCGAAAGCUUGCUUUUGAUGGGCGUCGACCGGCGCACGGGUGAGUAACGCGUAUCCAACCUGCCCAUCACUUGGGAAUAACCUUGCGAAAGUAAGACUAAUACCCAAUGACAUCCCACGAAGACAUCUGAAUGGGAUUAAAGAUUUAUCGGUGAUGGAUGGGGAUGCGUCUGAUUAGCUUGUUGGCGGGGUAACGGCCCACCAAGGCAACGAUCAGUAGGGGUUCUGAGAGGAAGGUCCCCCACAUUGGAACUGAGACACGGUCCAAACUCCUACGGGAGGCAGCAGUGAGGAAUAUUGGUCAAUGGGCGAGAGCCUGAACCAGCCAAGUAGCGUGCAGGAUGACGGCCCUAUGGGUUGUAAACUGCUUUUAGAAGGGAAGAAAGUGGGUCUCGUGAGACUUUUUGCAUGUACCUUAUGAAUAAGGACCGGCUAAUUCCGUG